rnacentral:RNase_P_RNA from 1 species
UGAGUACGAAAGAUGAUCGCGAAGGCCGCAGGGCCUUCGAGGAAAGUCCGAGCUCCACAGGGCAGGGUGCUGGUUAACGGCCAGCGAGGGCGACCUCAGGGAUAGUGCCGCAGAAAUGUAGACCGCCCGGCUUCGCCGGGUAAGGAUGGAACGGUGCGGUAAGAGCGCACCAGCAGUCAGGUGACUGACUGGCUAGGUAAACCCCACCUGGAGCAAGACCGAAUAGGGAAGAGAUGAGGUAGCCCGCCGAUCCUUCCGGGUAGCGUCGCUAGAGCCGGCAGGCAACUGCCGGCCGAGAUAAAUGAUCAUCACCGCGUAAGCGGAACAGAACUCGGCUUAUCGACUGCUCACCGA